rnacentral:rRNA from 1 species
GUUAGCAGCCAUAUCACUCUGCAACUCACAACUGGCAACCCACUGAAGCUAAGCAGGGCUGAGUCUGGUCAGUACCUGGUUAGGAGACCUGGGAAAACCUGUGGUUGCUGCUGGAA